rnacentral:lncRNA from 1 species
AUGAAGAGACUGCGCGUUUUGUUGGUGUGCCUCAUUGUAGCUCUCCUGUGCUGGUACCCUAGUCAACAUGUCUAUUGUUCAGAGCAGAGCUUGUCCAGCUCAGGUCAGUCUCGACAGGAGAAAGAUCCUGAUGGCCUCGAGCAGGAGCAGGACUCCACGCAAAACAAGGUGGUGGAAGAAUGGAAGACACACACAUCAUACGAUAUGGGGCUAGAGACAGAGAGAGCAGCACGAGAGAAACUACAAAAACAGAGCAUACACCAUGAAGAGGUAAAAAGACACAUCAGUUAUUGGAAGUUUUCCAGCUUAUCGCUCACAAAGUUAAAAGUUACAGUGAACAGGAUACUAAGGCAGGCUUUAAAAAAAUUAGUGUCAAUAAAAAAGGGAAAUUGA